rnacentral:snoRNA from 1 species
CUCUCUUACAAAGGCAUGUCUGUGGUUUUCUGUUCUUGGACAUGUAAGAAUUGGAGGCAAAGUUAUGUGGGCUUGAAGAAGUCUGCAGCCAGCUUGCUCUGCAAGCUUAAGAUUACUCUUCCCACACAG